AUGUACAACUCUGAGCGGUGGAUCACUCGGCUCGUGUGUCGAUGAAGAGCGCAGCCAACUGUGUGAAUUAAUGUGAACUGCAUACUGCUUUGAACAUCGACAUCUUGAACGCACAUUGCGGCCACGGGUUUUCCUGUGGCCACGCCUGUCCGAGGGUCGGC
rnacentral:rRNA from 1 species